AUGCUACUCCCUCCAUUCGAAAAUACUUGUCAUCAAAAUGGAUAAAAAGAGAUGUAUCUAGAACUAAAAUACGUCUAGAUGCAUCCUCUUUUAUCCAUUUUGAUGACAAGUAUUUCUGGACGGAGGGAGUAUUAU
rnacentral:pre_miRNA from 1 species